rnacentral:rRNA from 1 species
UUCUUGGUCAUUUAGAGGAAGUAAAAGUCGUAACAAGGUUUCCGUAGGUGAACCUGCUGAAGGAUCAUUAAAGAAAUUUAAUAAUUUUGAAAAUGGAUUUUUUUUUUUUUGUUUUGGCAAGAGCAUGAGAGCUUUUACUGGGCAAGAAGACAAGAGAUGGAGAGUCCAGCCGGGCCUGCGCUUAAGUGCGCGGUCUUGCUAGGCUUGUAAGUUUCUUUCUUGCUAUUCCAAACGGUGAGAGAUUUCUGUGCUUUUGUUAUAGGACAAUUAAAACCGUUUCAAUACAACACACUGUGGAGUUUUCAUAUCUUUGCAACUUUUUCUUUGGGCACUCGAGCAAUCGGGGCCCAGAGGUUAACAAACACAAACAAUUUUAUCUAUUCAUUAAAUUUUUGUCAAAAACAAGAAUUUUCGUAACUGGAAAUUUUAAAAUAUUAAAAACUUUCAACAACGGAUCUCUUGGUUCUCGCAUCGAUGAAGAACGCAGCGAAAUGCGAUACGUAAUGUGAAUUGCAGAAUUCCGUGAAUCAUCGAAUCUUUGAACGCACAUUGCGCCCCUUGGUAUUCCAGGGGGCAUGCCUGUUUGAGCGUCAUUUCCUUCUCAAACAUUCUGUUUGGUAGUGAGUGAUACUCUUUGGAGUUAACUUGAAAUUGCUGGCCUUUUCAUUGGAUGUUUUUUUUUCCAAAGAGAGGUUUCUCUGCGUGCUUGAGGUAUAAUGCAAGUACGGUCGUUUUAGGUUUUACCAACUGCGGCUAAUCUUUUUUAUACUGAGCGUAUUGGAACGUUAUCGAUAAGAAGAGAGCGUCUAGGCGAACAAUGUUCUUAAAGUUUGACCUCAAAUCAGGUAGGAGUACCCGCUGAACUUAAGCAUAUCAAUAAGCGGAGGAA